rnacentral:tRNA from 1 species
UCUCCUGUAGCUCAGUGGUAGAGUGUCCGACCGGUGUGCGGACAGUUCAUAGAUUUGACUCCUGUUGGGGGAA